rnacentral:lncRNA from 12 species
UAACCCCUGCUGCCCUUGGGAAAGUUCACAGUAAUUGGCAAGGCUCAGCCUGGAGUCUGUCUUCGGAGUAGCCCUUGAUCUCACUGGACCGGCCAAA